ACCUCCACGUAUGGGAUCCCAAGAUCUAAGUCCCCAACCUCUAUUUUUUGUUUUAAAGACCUCCACACGGGCUUUAGGACCUGCUUGAGUGAUACGAUUUCGGCAGUUCGGAGGGCAUGAACAGGCAGAACCACACUCAUAUACCAAGGUUUUGUAACUCAUGAGAACUCCAAGUGGAUUAAAGGGCAAAUAGCCUCCAUUUUUCUGAAUGCAAGGACAACUGGUUCCACCAGGUUGACAUCCACCAAGACAUUGACAGCCAACAGAUGGAUUAGACUUCAUGAAAGGUUUUGAGUACUUCAGACUUGGGAUAUAUGUGAAAUAAGCAGGUCCCUUCUCAUCAUCAACAUCAUUUACGAGACAAA
rnacentral:lncRNA from 1 species